AUCAAAACAGCAAUAACCACCACAAAUGCAGGAGCCCGAAGGGCUUGGUGUUCGUGCUGUGACCCCGUGAGAGGCAUCAUCUUUAAGACACUCUUUACAAGGACUGGAGACAUAUCAGAGAGAGGCUGUCCCAUCAGCCUGGAUCCUGGAGUAGACAAAUGUGGAGCGGAGCCCCAGCCAACCUGUGAAGGCCAUGCAACAUGUAAUGGGAGCAAGAGAUAGACCUUUGCUAUUAUAAGCCA